UAGUAGCGGCGAGCGAACGGGGAGCAGCCCUUAAGCUGUUUAGAAUUUAGUGGAAUCCUUUGGGAAGAGGAGCGAUACAAGGUGAUAGCCCUGUACACGACGGAUUCUUUACAGUGAAAUCGAGUAGGUCGGGACACGUGUUAUCUUGACUGAAUGUGGGGGGACCAUCCUCCAAGGCUAAAUACUACUAACUGACCGAUAGUGAACCAGUACCGUGAGGGAAAGGCGAAAAGAACCCCUGUGAGGGGAGUGAAAUAGAUCCUGAAACCGUAUGCGUACAAGCAGUCGGAGCGGACUUGUUCCGUGACGGCGUACCUUUUGUAUAAUGGGUCAUCGACUUGGUCUAUCUAGCAAGCUUAAGCCGUUAGGUGUAGGCGCAGCGAAAGCGAGUCUUAAUAGGGCGAAUGAGUUAGGUGGAUCAGACCCGAAACCGAGUGAUCUAGGCAUGGCCAGGUUGAAGGUAAGGUAACACUUACUGGAGGACCGAACCCACAUCUGUUGAAAAAGAUCGGGAUGAGCUGUGCCUAGGGGUGAAAGGCCAAUCAAACUCGGAGAUAGCUGGUUCUCUGCGAAAUCUAUUUAGGUAGAGCGUCAUCCGAAUACCCUCGGGGGUAGAGCACUGGAUGGGUAAUGGGGCCCCACAGGCUUACUGAUCCUAACCAAACUCCGAAUACCGAGGAGUACUAGAUGGCAGACACACUGCGGAUGCUAACGUCCGUAGUGGAGAGGGAAACAACCCUGACCUACAGCUAAGGCCCCCAAUUCAUGGCUAAGUGGGAAAGCAGGUGGGACGACCAAAACAACCAGGAGGUUGGCUUAGAAGCAGCCAUCCUUUAAAGAUAGCGUAACAGCUCACUGGUCUAAAUAAGUUAUCCUGCGGCGAAGAUGUAACGGGGCUCAAGCCAUGAGCCGAAGCUUAGGAUGCCGUAAGGCAUGGUAGCAGAGCGUAGUGUG
rnacentral:rRNA from 1 species